AUUGAACGCUGGCGGCAGGCCUAACACAUGCAAGUCGAGCGGAUGAAGGGAGCUUGCUCCUGGAUUCAGCGGCGGACGGGUGAGUAAUGCCUAGGAAUCUGCCUGGUAGUGGGGGAUAACGUCCGGAAACGGGCGCUAAUACCGCAUACGUCCUGAGGGAGAAAGUGGGGGAUCUUCGGACCUCACGCUAUCAGAUGAGCCUAGGUCGGAUUAGCUAGUUGGUGGGGUAAAGGCCUACCAAGGCGACGAUCCGUAACUGGUCUGAGAGGAUGAUCAGUCACACUGGAACUGGGACACGGUCCAGGCUCCUACGGGAGGCAGCAGUGGGGAAUAUUGGACAAUGGGCGAAAGCCUGAUCCAGCCAUGCCGCGUGUGUGAAGAAGGUCUUCGGAUUGUAAAGCACUUUAAGUUGGGAGGAAGGGCAGUAAGUUAAUACCUUGCUGUUUUGACGUUACCAACAGAAUAAGCACCGGCUAACUUCGUG
rnacentral:rRNA from 1 species